ACGGAAGGCAGCAGUGGGGAAUAUUGCACAAUGGAGGAAACUCUGAUGCAGCGAUGCCGCGUGAGGGAAGAAGGUUUUCGGAUUGUAAACCUCUGUCUUCAGGGACGAUAAUGACGGUACCUGAGGAGGAAGCUCCGGCUAACUACGUGCCAGCAGCCGCGGUAAUACGUAGGGAGCGAGCGUUGUCCGGAAUUACUGGGUGUAAAGGGAGCGUAGGCGGGAUCUUAAGUCAGGUGUGAAAACUAUGGGCUCAACCCAUAGACUGCACUUGAAACUGAGGUUCUUGAGUGAAGUAGAGGCAGGCGGAAUUCCUAGUGUAGCGGUGAAAUGCGUAGAUAUUAGGAGGAACAUCAGUGGCGAAGGCGGCCUGCUGGGCUUUUACUGACGCUGAGGCUCGAAAGCGUGGGGAGCAAACAGGAUUAGAUACCCUGGUA
rnacentral:rRNA from 1 species